GAUGAACGCUGGCGGCGUGCCUAAUACAUGCAAGUCGAGCGAACGGACGAGAAGCUUGCUUUUCUGAUGUUAGCGGCGGACGGGUGAGUAACACGUGGAUAACCUACCUAUAAGACUGGGAUAACUUCGGGAAACCGGAGCUAAUACCGGAUAAUAUUUUGAACCGCAUGGUUCAAAAGUGAAAGACGGUCUUGCUGUCACUUAUAGAUUGAUCCGCGCUGCAUUAGCUAGUUGGUAAGGUAACGGCUUACCAAGGCAACGAUGCAUAGCCGACCUGAGAGGGUGAUCGGCCAGACGGGAACUGAGACACGGUCCAGACUCCUACGGGAGGCAGCAGUAGGGAAUCUUCCGCAAUGGGCGAAUGCGUGACGGAGCAACGCCGCGUGAGUGAUGAAGGUCUUCGGAUCGUAGAACUCUGUAAGUAGGGAAGAACAUAUGUGUAAUUAACUGUGCACAUCUUGACGGUACCGAAACAGAAAGCCACGGCUAACUACGUG
rnacentral:rRNA from 1 species